rnacentral:rRNA from 1 species
CCUACGGGUGGCUGCAGUGAGGAAUAUUGGUCAAUGGGCGGGAGCCUGAACCAGCCAAGUCGCGUGAGGGACGACGGUCCUAUGGAUUGUAAACCUCUUUUGUCGGGGAACAAAGGCGCCCACGGGUGGGCGGAUGAGGGUACCCGAAGAAAAAGCAUCGGCUAACUCCGUGCCAGCAGCCGCGGUAAUUAGGAGGAUGCGAGCGUUUUCCGGAUUUAUUGGGGUUAAAGGGUGCGUAGGCGGACGGUCAAGUUAGCGGGAAAAAUGCGGUGCUCAACGCCGUAUCGCCGUUGAUACUGGCAGUCUUGAGUGGGCGAGAGGUAUGCGGAAUGCGUGGUGUAGCGGUGAAAUGCAUAGAUAUCACGCAGAACUCCGAUUGCGAAGGCAGCAUACCGGCGCCCGACUGACGCUGAGGCACGAAAGCGUGGGUAUCGAACAGGAUUAGAUACCCGUGUAGUC